GGUUAUUUCCUGAGAUGAUGACUUACACCUGCUUUCUGUUGCAAGGUUGCUGAUGUACGGGAUACCUGGUUUGGAUAUGAAGACAUGACUGAGCAGAAAAUUGAAGAUGCUGUGCAAGUGUUCAAGAUACUAUGGUGGAGCUUUGGCUUGUACAUUACUUGGGAGGACUUCAGCACAUGAUCCCGUAGCUGAUCUGGAAAGAUGGCGGAAGCUUGACCCUGAGGCAGAGGCUGGCCCAAAGUUGCAGAUCUUGAGAUCAAGCUCCCCUGGAGAUGACCAUCUUGAGCAGGCAAUAAGUGUUUCAUGCAUUUUUUGAAAGACAUUCUAAAGAAUACUCUGAAUAUUUUUCUGAUACAUUGAUUUUACUGAUCAAAGCUUGAAAGAUUAUGUCCAUGGUUGUGUAGAAGGAAGGAAGUAACUUUUAUCUUAGAGGAAUCUUUGUAGCUAUUUCAAUAGCAGAAGUAGUGGCCAAGUGCCCAGCCUUUUAUCUUUGAGUCUCUAGAGGGUCUUGACAAUUUGUCUUGAAUAUAGACUUCACUAAAAUCAACUCUAUCUUUGUCACCUCCACAUUGGGCACUAAUGUACUUUCUGAAGAGCUUAUCUCAUAGUGAACAUUAAAUUAGAACUCCAUAAACUUAAUUUGCUUCCACUGCUUCAUUUGCUUCCAAGUGUAAUACUUGGUAUUGAUUUUAACUUAUAUUUAACUUUUAUAGUGGUAGUUGCACGUACUUAAGAGGCUGCUACUUCUUGCUGUGAAACCUGACUUGAGUAUAAGAUUUUAGCCAUUGCAGACAACAGCAUUUGUUUUCUCUGAAAGACCUGCAAAGUGUUAACUUAGUAGAAACCAAGGCUUCAAGAUAUUCUCUGUAGACUAUGUAUGCUUUUAUAGUGGCAUUGGAGAAUAGCUAUGAAAUGGCUACCAUCCCUGGUUUGGUCUAACAUUUGUCUUCUCUUAAAAUAUAUUGUUUCUUUUUCAAAAUUAUAUUUUAUUCUUGAGAAUUUUCUUCUAAUAUGUUUGUGAUCAAUUAAAGUGUAUUUUGCAAUACGCUGGAGACAUCAGACUAAAUUCAGCCCUAUUUUCUAUUCAUUCUCAGUUAUUGUUCUUCUUGUUGACAGUGUCAAGAGAAUAAAUGUAAUGAAGUCAGCACAAACUCUGUAAUAACUAUCCUUCAUAUGCUUUAAGUUUUCUGGAAAAUUUUGGACUUUUCUCCAUAGAACAAAUGCUUACACUUUGCUUUUCCUAUUUAUUUAUUUUUUUAAAAAGAAUGCAACAAAUUAUGCACGCAUUUUGCAGACAUAGAUUGCUUUUGGUAAGAUCUCUUAAUGUUAGUUUGUACGUGGAUGACUUCACUCAAUGACUUUUUUUUCAAGGUAAAAUUUAGUUUUCUAUUUUUGGUAUGCAGACCACUGUGUGACCUUGAGCUGCCAUCUGGAGUUGAGUUUCAAUUCGAGCAAAAGCGUACAGUACAUAAAGGGCACAGAUUCCCCUUGAUCUUUUGGUCCAGAAGAGAGGACCUAACAUCCCUCGUGUAUGGUAGAAUGCAUGAGUGUGGCAAGUAUGUGGUAUUCUCAUGCAGGCAGUAAGAGCUGUCAUUCUUCAUUCAGUAUGUGCUAUCAGUAAGAAAUUCUCAUUCUUCUUUUGAACUUUCCAACUGUUUUGUGGGAUGCAUGACUCCCAAGAGAACAAUCAGUCUUUUAAACUCUUUGCUAGCUGAAUUUUUAAAUGGUGCACUUCUGAUGAAGUUCUUACAAACUGGUGAGUAUUUUAAUUUUCUUCAGUAAUUUUCAAUGUCAGUAGUACUAGGUCUAUUAUACCCAUACAAACCAGUGCAGCAUGAUUUGUCUUAAAGUGACAUAAAGAAACUGAACAUGGAAAAGAGCUGAAAUAUAGUUAGGAUUUAUGAUUUAAAAAUUAAUAUAUAAAUCACUUGUGAUCUUUUCAAGACAGAACAGUUGAAAACUAUUUCCACUACAGGAAGUAGAUAUUAAACAAAUGUGGAUAAAUGUAGACAUUGUGGAAGAUGUCCAACUUGGAGAAUUGCCAAAGCACUAAAAUUAAUACGUUAUAUAAAUUGUGAAAUUUAUGUAGCCAAACAUUUGUUGAACUAAAUGAUCUUAGUGAUCUUUUCCAAACUUCAUGAUUCUGUGUUCAUCAAGAAAGUGAUUUUGUGUUUCCUUCAGAGCAUUAAAUAUCCCAAUUUUAAUUGAAUAUAAGAUAUGGAACCCAGUGAAUACUUGAAAUGCAUGUUAAGAAAUAUCUUUUCUGAUAUGUACCUUUUUAUUUCAAAGAAGAGAAUAUGUCUGGAAGAGUCAUUUAUAUGCAGUUUAGAAUUCUAGUUGAACAAUUCCUUCCCCUUUCCUGAAAUGUACAAAGGAGCAUCUCCAUCCUUAGUGACCUUUCUUAAUUUAUGUCACCUGGUAAGAUUUUUAACCUGUGAUUGCAUUGAACUUAGUAAGUACAAAUGAAAAGCAUACUCAGUACUUAAUUGCAUUAAAAUAGAUAAAACUUCUUUAGAAAAAUAUUAAGCUCUCACAAGAAGUUGCAAGACAUUCUAGAAAAAGAAAAAAAUGAUUAAAACUCUCUGAGAGUUUCUUUUCUGGAAACCUUUUCAAUUUUCCUUUAACUGACAUAUUCUAUCUUUAUUCUCUUCUCAAAAUUACUGUUUUACUAUGGUAAGCAUUAAGUAGUGAUAGGUAAUUGAAAUUCAUUAGUAAAGGGAAUGAGCAGAAUAAUGGUAAAACUAGAGAAUAAUAGAAAAAUAGAAAAGUAUCUAAAAUACUGUAGCUUUGUGUGUGUGUGUGUUUUUCUCCUUGUAUUUUGCUUGAAAUGUUCUUGUGACCACUAUUUCAUUUCUUUCCAAAUGACUGGACAGGUUUUCAAUUGCUUCUAAUCAAUGUAAUUUGGUGAUGUUAAUUUUUUUUUUAUUUAUUUUUACUGUUAGAAGAGCUAUUUUUAGAAAAUUAAUGUUACACACAGAUUAGAAAACUAAAUUGCUAUGUCUGUACUGAAGAAGCAACAUCUGUGUUGCCACCUACCCAGCAGACAAAGAUUUUUAAAUUUGGGUUUUCUCUGCAAAAUGGUAUGUUGUGAUUCCUAUCCAGAUAAUAAAGCCAAGCAAAUAAAUUCUACAAAACAAGACUCCUGAAAUACAGCAGGGUAAUUUUUUGAACAUGUCUCUCAUUGACUAAUCAAGAGAUGGUUGGAGCAGUGCAAACUAUUACAUGGGGGCAAAUGGCUUAUAAAUCAAGAUAACUUUUUAUGGAUUCAAGUCUUUCCUGAAAAACUAAACAUUUCAAGAAAAGCAUUUGCCAGAACAUUAGCUGAAGGAAUAAGCUCCAGCUCAUUGUUGCUGUUUGAUGAGGAGUGAUGACAGGAGAACCUCAAGCCAAGUGAGGCCUACUACAGAUACACAAAUCAGAGAAAAACAAAUAAAAAAAGAAUGGGUAUUUAUAAAAUAGAUAAGAAUUCUCUGUUCUUAGUUGCAAGUAUCCCUUAAUGAUGGCCUUUAAUGAAACAGCUUUAAAGUUGAUUGGGUUAAAUCUGGAGUGAGAGUGCACCACCACGUGUGCUGGGCUGAGGAGACCAUCAUAUCAGGUUAGUGUUCUGCUUUGGUUUCUAGCUGCCAUCUUGCUUUAAACUACCUUUUCUGUUUUGUCAGAUUGCUUAAGCUGGUAGUAUGCACCAAAUGCCAGAUAGAUAGAUGUUGUGUGACUGAAGAGUCUUAAUAUUCCCACUGACAACUAUUCUCUUGAGAGAGAAAUCAUGCUUAGAAGUGUUAGGAUUUCUCCUUUGUUGUUUGCAUUGUGGCGUGAGAUUAUAUUUAACCUUUAGAUUACAUUUUAAAAGAAAACAGAUAUUGUUUCACUUUGUUUUACUUUUCAUACAGAGUUAUGUAAGUCUUGGUAAACACAUGGAAAAUGAAACCACUUAGUUUGCAUUACCUCACUUACAGUGGCACAUAAGUGGGUAUUUGUGAAG